GAUGAACGCUGGCGGCGUGCCUAAUACAUGCAAGUCGAACGAGCUCUUCGGAGCUAGUGGCGGACGGGUGAGUAACACGUUGGUACCUACCCCGAAGUGGGGAAUAACUGGCCGAAAGGUCGGCUAAUACCGCAUAAUACCGUAAGGUUAAAGCAGUAAUGCGCUUCGGGAGGGGCCUGCGUCCCAUUAGCUUGUUGGUAGUGUAAUGGACUACCAAGGCGACGAUGGGUAGCUGGAUCGAGAGGUUGACCAGCCACACUGGGACUGAGAUACGGCCCAGACUCCUACGGGAGGCAGCAGUAAGGAAUCUUCCACAAUGGACGAAAGUCUGAUGGAGCAACGCCGCGUGCAGGAUGACGGCCUUCGGGUUGUAAACUGCUUUUAUAUGCGAAGAUUAUGACGGUACCAUAUGAAUAAGGACCGGCUAACUACGUGCCAGCAGCCGCCGUAA
rnacentral:rRNA from 1 species